rnacentral:rRNA from 1 species
GACGAACGCUGGCGGCGUGCUUAACACAUGCAAGUCGAACGGAAAGGCCCUGCUUGCAGGGUACUCGAGUGGCGAACGGGUGAGUAACACGUGGGUGAUCUGCCCUGCACUUCGGGAUAAGCUUGGGGAACUGGGUCUAAUACCGGAUAGGAGCCAUCUUUAGUGUGGUGGUUGGAAAGUUUUUUCGGUGUAGGAUGAGCUCGCGGCCUAUCAGCUUGUUGGUGGGGUAAUGGCCUACCAAGGCGGCGACGGGUAGCCGGCCUGAGAGGGUGUACGGCCACAUUGGGACUGAGAGACGGCCCAGACUCCUACGGGAGGCAGCAGUGGGGAAUAUUGCACAAUGGGCGCAAGCCUGAUGCAGCGACGCCGCGUGGGGGAUGAAGGCCUUCGGGUUGUAAACUCCUUUCGCUAGGGACGAAGCUUUUUGUGACGGUACCUAGAUAAGAAGCACCGGCUAACUACGUG